AUUGAACGCUGGCGGCAGGCUUAACACAUGCAAGUCGAGCGGGGUGAUGGUGCUUGCACUAUCACUUAGCGGCGGACGGGUGAGUAAUGCUUAGGAAUCUGCCUAUUAGUGGGGGACAACAUCUCGAGAGGGAUGCUAAUACCGCAUACGUCCUACGGGAGAAAGCAGGGGAUCACUUGCGACCUGGCGCUAAUAGAUGAGCCUAAGUCGGAUUAGCUAGUUGGUGGGGUAAAGGACUACCAAGGCGACGAUCUGUAGCGGGUCUGAGAGGAUGAUCCGCCACACUGGGACUGAGACACGGCCCAGACUCCUACGGGAGGCAGCAGUGGGGAAUAUUGGACAAUGGGGGGAACCCUGAUCCAGCCAUGCCGCGUGUGUGAAGAAGGCCUUAUGGUUGUAAAGCACUCUAAGCGAGGAGGAGGCUCUUUUGGUUAAUACCCAAGAUGAGUGGACGUUACUCGCAGAAUAAGCACCGGCUAACUCUGUGCCAGCCGCCGCCGUAA
rnacentral:rRNA from 1 species